GUUUCUGUAGUGUAGCGGUUAUCACGUUUGCCUAACAUAAAAAAGGUCCUCGGUUCGAAACCGAGCAGAAACA
rnacentral:tRNA from 1 species